rnacentral:lncRNA from 1 species
CUACUAUCAAGUGUCUACAUUUGUAUUGGAUUGACUUAACAUCUCUGGAAAGCCAGAAAUCAGAGAUACAGAGAAGUAUUGAAAUGCUGAAAUGCUAUGAAUUUACUAUAAGAGAACAUUCUUCACUGAAGAGAUCUCUAGCUGCCAAAACACCCUUUCAUGCGUGAAAUACCGGGGCAAAGAGGAAGGAAAAGAGAAGAGUAUGACUCUAGGAACCAUGUUGCAGAAA